rnacentral:lncRNA from 1 species
AGCAGACAAGAACUAAAAAUGAUACAACCUGUCACAGAUAAACUAAAAUACAAUGGUGAGAAAGGUACAGCUUUGUGCCUUAGUUUCUUUUGUUGUUUUAGUUUUUCUGUAGGGGAAUGCUGUUCCUACAGGAAGUGUGUUCAGAGUCCUCACCCACUGGCUGAUGGAAGCAGAGGCAGACACCCACAGCUAAACACUGAACUGAACUCUGGAACCCAGUUGCAGAGAGGGAGGAGUGAAGAUCAAAGAGGUCGGGACCAGGUUGGUGAAGCUCACGUAGACAGCUGACCUGAAGAAGUGGGAGUGCAUGGAACCCAGACUGAUGUCUGAGAGGCCAGCACAGGACUAAUCAAGACCCCUCAGGGUGGAUGUCAAUGAGGAGGCCUCAGCGCUCUAUGAGGCCCCUGGUAGUGAAUCAUUAUUUACCCCUGGCAGAAGAAGGGACUUUGGGAGCCCAAGCCACAUGGAGGAAUGCUCUCUCAGUCUGGACACAUGUGGGAGGGCCUAGGCCCUGCCCAAGAUGGUAUGACAGACUUUGGGGAAACCCCUUGGAGGCCCUUACCCUCCAUGGGGAGCAGAUGGGGG